CUCACCACUAAAUGGUGAUUCAGCCUAGGUGGAAUAAGCUUUUUUUCUCAUUUUCAAUAUUUUCCCCUCACCUGUUUGAAACCCUCUUCUCUCAACCUGAUAGCCCUUCUCACCAAGCCUCCUUUGUUGCUUUGCCACUGGCCACUUUCGUUCUUCCACUCUUUCACGUUAGUCGAUUGAAGCUACUCGUUCCUUCGUUCCUCCACUCUUUCUUCUUUUUCUUUUCCCUUUCAUUAUUGAAUCACGUUAGUCGAUAUUACUUUAAAGCCAUUAGUUCCUCCUAGAUUUGAAACAAAGGUGAAGUAGUAUAACUAGCAUGACGUGGAGUCUGGGGAACUGAUAAUUGUAUUUAGUGCUCCAGACUACCUACAAUUUUAGAUCAAGAAAGAAAGAAAUCGGAGUUAGAUCAGGAAAAGUCGAAAGUUGUCGAAUAGUCGUUCCGAUCCGUUCGUUUUCGAAUGAGAUUUUGAAAGCUAGCUCGAGUUUGAGGAUCAUCCAGGAACAUCGUCACACUAUCGAUCGCUAUUUCUGUACUUUAAAAGUUUGUACUUUCGACUUAUGGCAUGUAUAGGCUAGUUUCGAUAUGGUUCUUUUGAUCUGUAUAUAUGUGGCCAUGUAGAAAUGGCUUGAUAAUGAUGUUAAUGUUUGUGUAUACUCGGUCAUAGUAUAAGCUCAUUUUGGUUGAGUAACGAUUUAGUUGAUGGAUGCGUUUUUACUGUAAUGCAUAUAUUCCCAUAAACUAAAUUAUGUAUAAGUGAUUGCUUGCA